rnacentral:rRNA from 1 species
UACAGAGGUCCCAAGCGUUGUUCGGAUUCACUGGGCGUAAAGGGUGCGUAGGCGGUCGGGUAAGUCAGACGUGAAAUCCCUCGGCUUAACCGGGGAACUGCGUCUGAUACUGGAUGGCUUGAGAUUGGGAGAGGGAUGCGGAAUUCCAGGUGUAGCGGUGAAAUGCGUAGAUAUCUGGAGGAACACCGGUGGCGAAGGCGGCAUCCUGGACCAACACUGACGCUGAGGAGCGAAAGCCAGGGGAGCAAACGGG